AAAAAAAAAAAAAAAAAAAAAAAAAAAAAAAGGCCACUUAUCAUCUAGUUCUCAUUGUGGCUUUUAUGGUUACAGGUCAGAAUGUUGUGCUCAUCGUGUAAGCUGAACUAAACUGAACACACAAAUUUGGAAGUUUGUGACUGCACAUUCCUUUCCCUCACUGAAGCGUUGAAAUAUUAGAGUUUUUUUUAGAUGCAAUAUAAAAUCUCCAGGAUGAGAGAACUUUGAACCUUGCAAAUACUUGUUUUAUUUAAAAACAAAACAAAACAAAAUGAUAGUUUUUUUUGUUGUUUUUGUUUUUUUCUUAUAUGAGGUAAGCUUGCAGAUUCAGACCUCAAGUUCUCCUUGCAGACACAUUUUUUUCACUCUAAAAUAGCUGAGUCCAAGGUAGAGUGUAGGUUUGCUUUGAUUAUUAUUAUUAUUUUUAAGAAACAAUGUGUAUCUUACACCAUCUCUUGCACCAUCUUUUCACUUAAGGCAAAUGUAACUCUGGCAAUCAGGAAACUUAGCACCACAGGUACCUGGACUUUUUGAAAGGAGUUUAUAGUUUCACUGGACACUGCCAAGUAGGCUGAUUAUAGCCUUAUGGUAAUUGUUGGCUUUUCCCCAACAGGCUGCUUUCCUGUGGCAGUCUACUAAACACGAUCUCCCUCAUUUAAUUUAAAGCAUGAGACAAUUCAUUGCCUCAAAGAAGUAUGUAGCUAUUUCUCUCAAAGAUCCUAACUUUUAUUCAACAUAAAAUUUUACAUCCUACAUUUCUUCACUGAAUUCAAUGAAGAUCCGUAAAUCUUCUUUCAUUAAAGAAUUAGGACGGACACUAAUUCUAAAAUAAAUUCCUUCACUUUUUUUUUUACCUUUUUUUUUUUUACUUUUUUUUUUUCUGCUUUACCUUUGGACAAAAAUGAUCAUGUUCUGCUGCCUCAUUUAAGACCAGAUUCUGAUCACCUGUAAUCAUUCUGUAAAUGAUUCCCAAGGCUCUUGACCACCGCUUCCACUUCAGCUUCUUGCAGACAAUCAAUGUUGCUCUGCAUUUCUAUGCUUUGCAUAUAUUGGCAUUACAACAAUCUAAAUGCUUUAGCCUGUCUUGCAAUUUUUACUGACAAGGUUAUAAAUUCUCAGAGAUCAGAGAUAAGAGACCAUAACACAUGGCUUUGAUGGCUCAUGCAUCCCCUAUGAAAAUAUCUAGUGCAGGGCAUUCCUUCUUGAUAAAAAUCAUUACUCUAGUUCAAGUGUUUCUCAAACUAAUUAUUCUAUUUUUUUUCACUUACUGUAUCAAAAAUCAACCCUUCCUAACUUUGAAGUAUCUUUUUUCUCAUCUACAAAAAAAAAAAAAAAAAAAAAAAAAACUCUUAAAAAUUCUUUUGACCUAUUUUUGCAACAUUAAAUGGGAGAUAGAAGAUAGCAUUACUGACUAGGCUCUGCCUAAGUUACGAGAUUAACAUAGCUUUAUUGUUCUUUACAAAUGGAUCACAAAUAUAUUGCAGUUAUGUUUCAUUAUUAUUGUUUUAUUCAAUAUAGUAAAAUCAUCAUACUCUUCUAGUCAUAAACACAACCCUGCAGUUUUCACUGCCUUCAAGCUUCAAUAUUCCAUUUGUCAGAAGAAAGAAGUUGUCAGAAAAUAAUGUUAACCUUUGUUUCAUGAAGAAAUUAAGGGGUGCCAGUAUAGUUGUCUGUUUUAGUGCCAUACAGCUUCACGAGACCACAUCCAUCUCUGACAUCUACCAGAGCCUGCCUCAGCAGCUGAACAGAGCUGUGCAAAUAUGCUGAUUUUUCAAUGACUGUUGAAUUAAAUUUUUGAAAAAAGUCUGAUCAGAUUGAUGCACAAUCAAAAAUGGCAGGAGAUACCAGCAUGCACUUUUUCUGCAUCCAAAUUAAACCCAGGAAAAAUGUAUUUCUGUUCAUAUGGCAUGUUUUAUGUCAGACUUUUAUUUAAAAAAAAAAAAAAA